UUGGUAAAACCCGGAUAUCUGACGGACGCUUCGGUAUCAUUAUUUUAUUGUUUUUCCAACGUCAAGACAUUAUCACGCAAAAUUAAAAUAUUCGAUUUUUUGUUAGUCCGAUAGUUUUGCGGAAGUGAUAGCAAAAUAUGUUUAUCAGUAUAAAUAUUGAUGAGUUCUCCCGUCAUCGAGUAUUUCAUGGAUUUUUCCAACGUCAAAUGAAACUAAACUUAUACCAAAUGACAAAAUUCGUCCUUUUCGUAAUCCUGGGACUUUUCGCAGUCGUCAGCCUGGCAAAUGGUGGGGACGGUAGAACGAAAUUAUCGCGGAAAUAUGUCAAUGAAUGCGGAAAUAAACGUCUGGCAAGGACCCCAUGGGCUCUCUAUGAAUGUAUAUUGGAAACCUCCCAGAUUUUUGACAACCGACGAGGUCGAGUUAAUGAUACCCGAUUCGCAGACAUACUUUCACAUGUAAUUGACCCGAGGGUGGGCUAUCAGGUGCCUCAUAUCGUAGCGAAUUUCAAAAAAUGUGUAAAAGGGCGACAGUUUAAUUCUGCGGAUAAUUUAAUUUUGGCACUUUAUCAAUGCAAUUUUGAUCCGGCUAUUCUGUACAACUUUUGAAUAGUUCAUAUCCACCAGUUUUAUGUAUCAAGGAAACCACUUGUCUUCGUGAAAAAUAAUAAAAUAUUCUAUGAUAAAAC